AAAACGCAUUGGCGAGUCUGGGAGAAAAUUAUCCAACCCAAGGGGAAGGGAGGACUUGGCUUUCGUGACUUCCGCAUCUUCAACCAAGCCUUGCUUGCUCGCCAGGCUUGGCGUUUGCUUACCCGGCAGGCCUCCCUAUGCUCUCAGGUAUUGAAGGCAAGGUAUUAUCCUAAUGGGUCCCUAGAGGACACUGUAUUUUCAGGAAACGCUUCUCCCACGUGGCAUGCUAUUCAGCAUGGCCUUGAUCUUCUCAAGCAAGGACUAUUCUGGCGGGUGGGAAAUGGUGAAAGCAUCCGCAUUUGGCGGGACCCGUGGUUACCACGACCGAUGACCUACAGGCCUAUCACGCCACGUGGCACAUGCCGGCUACGACGAGUGUCCGAGCUCCUGGACGGAAACGGCAGGUGGCGGGUGGAUCUUAUACAGCAACACUUCACCGUCUCGGACGUUGAGUGCAUAUUGACGAUCAAGGCCAGCCCACGGGGUUUGGAGGACGUCCUAGCUUGGACGCCAGACAACCGCGGCAUGUUCAGUGUACAUAGUGCG
rnacentral:rRNA from 1 species